GAUGAACGCUGGCGGCGUGCCUAAUACAUGCAAGUCGAGCGGAGAGGGGACGGGUGAGUAACACGUGGAUAACAUCCUAUAAGACUGGGAUAAAUUCGGGAAACCGUAGCUAAAACGGAUAAUUAUAGAUGGCUCCGCGCUGCAUUAGCUAGUUGGUAAGGUAACGGCUUACCAAGGCAACGGUGCAUAGCAGACCUGAGAGGUGGAUCGGCCACACUGGAACUAAGACACGGUCCAGACUCCUACGGGAGGCAGCAGUAGGGAAUCUUCCGCAAUGGGCGAAAGCCUGACGCAGCAACGCCGCGUGAGUGAUGAAGGUCUUCGGAUCGUAAAACUCUGUUAUUAGGGAAGCGGUACCCAGGCAGAACGCCACGGCUAACUACGUGCCAGCCGCCGCGGUAAUUC
rnacentral:rRNA from 1 species